rnacentral:rRNA from 1 species
UACGUAGGGGGCCAGCGUUGCUCGGAAUUACUGGGCGUAAAGGGUCCGUAGGCGGUGUGGCAAGUCGGGAGUGAAAUCUCUGGGCUUAACUCAGAGGCUGCUUCCGAAACUGCUGUGCUAGAGUGUGAGAGAGGCGAGUGGAAUUGCGGGUGUAGCGGUGAAAUGCGUAGAUAUCGGGAGGAACACCUGUGGCGAAAGCGG